rnacentral:rRNA from 1 species
CGGCAGCACAGUCGUAGCAAUACGAUGGGUGGCGAGUGGCGGACGGGUGAGGAAUACAUCGGGACCUGCCCAGACGUGGGGGAUAACGUAGGGAAACUUACGCUAAUACCGCAUACGUCCUACGGGAGAAAGCGGGGGAUCAGCAAUGACCUCGCGCGGUUGGAUGGACCGAUGUUCGAUUAGCUAGUUGGUGAGGUAAUGGCUCACCAAGGCGACGAUCGAUAGCUGGUCUGAGAGGAUGAUCAGCCACACUGGGACUGAGACACGGCCCAGACUCCUACGGGAGGCAGCAGUGGGGAAUAUUGGACAAUGGGCGCAAGCCUGAUCCAGCAAUGCCGCGUGUGUGAAGAAGGCCUUCGGGUUGUAAAGCACUUUUAUCAGGAGCGAAAUACCACGGGUUAAUACCCUAUGGGGCUGACGGUACCUGAGGAAUAAGCACUGGCUAACUUCGUGCCAGCAGCCGCGGUAAUACGAAGGGUGCAAGCGUUAAUCGGAAUUACUGGGCGUAAAGCGUGCGUAGGCGGUUUUUUAAGUCUGCUGUGAAAUCCCCGGGCUCAACCUGGGAAUGGCAGUGGAUACUGGAAAGCUAGAGUGUGAUAGA